CAACCUGCCUAUAACUAGGGAAUAACCUUGCGAAAGUAAGACUAAUACCCUAUGAUUUCCUUUGAUGACAUCAGAUUAGGAAUAAAGAUUUAUCGGUUAUAGAUGGGGAUGCGUCUGAUUAGCUUGUUGGCGGGGUAACGGCCCACCAAGGCAACGAUCAGUAGGGGUUCUGAGAGGAAGGUCCCCCACAUUGGAACUGAGACACGGUCCAAACUCCUACGGGAGGCAGCAGUGAGGAAUAUUGGUCAAUGGGCGGAAGCCUGAACCAGCCAAGUAGCGUGCAGGAUGACGGCCCUAUGGGUUGUAAACUGCUUUUAUACAGGAAUAAAGUUAGCCACGUGUGGUUAUUUGUAGGUACUGUAUGAAUAAGGACCGGCUAAUUCCGUGCCAGCAGCCGCGGUAAUACGGAAGGUCCAGGCGUUAUCCGGAUUUAAUGGGUUUAAAGGGAGCGUAGGCCGUCUGUUAAGCGUGUUGUGAAAUGUAGAUGCUCAACAUCUGAGUUGCAGCGCGAACUGGCAGACUUGAGUGUGCGCAACGUAGGCGGAAUUCGUGGUGUAGCGGUGAAAUGCUUAGAUAUCACGAAGAACUCCGAUUG
rnacentral:rRNA from 1 species